rnacentral:rRNA from 1 species
GAUGAACGCUGGCGGUAUGCUUAACACAUGCAAGUCGAACGGACUCUUCGGAGUUAGUGGCGGACGGGUGAGUAACGCGUGAGAAUCUGGCUUUGGGUUCGGGACAACCACUGGAAACGGUGGCUAAUACCGGAUGUGCCGAGAGGUAAAAGAGAAAUUGCCUGAAGAUGAGCUCGCGUCUGAUUAGCUAGUUGGUGAGGUAAAGGCUCACCAAGGCAGCGAUCAGUAGCUGGUCUGAGAGGAUGACCAGCCACACUGGGACUGAGACACGGCCCAGACUCCUGCGGGAGGCAGCAGUGGGGAAUUGUCCGCAAUGGGCGAAAGCCUGACGGAGCAAUACCGCGUGAGGGAAGAAGGCUCUUGGGGUGUAAACCUCUUUUCUUAGGGAAGAACAAAAUGACGGUACCUAAGAAAUCAGCAUCGGCUAACUCCGUG